GCUGCAAUGGUGAUCAGUAAUAUGUAAGAAGAGCCUCUCAUGGGAUUGGUUGUUCAAUGAAAUAUUCUAGUUACGCUUGGCUUCUGAGCUAU
rfam:Musa acuminata subsp. malaccensis Doubled-haploid Pahang (DH-Pahang) genomic chromosome, chr1